rnacentral:rRNA from 1 species
AUUGAACGCUGGCGGCAGGCCUAACACAUGCAAGUCGAGCGAGCGUCGGACGGGUGAGUAAUGUAUGGGGACUGCCCGAUAGAGGGGGAUAACUACUGGAAACGGUGGCUAAUACAGCAUACUAUCGGAUAACCCAUAUGGGAUUAGCUAGUAGGUGGGGUAAAGGCUCACGGAGGCGCCGAUCUCUAGCUGGUCUGAGAGGAUGAUAAGCCACCCUGGGACUGAGACACGUCCCAGACUCCUACGGAUGCAGCAGUGGGGAAGAUUGCACAAAGGGCGUAUGCCUGGUGCAGCCAUGCCGCGUGAAUGAAGAAGUCCGUAGGGUUGUAAAGUACUUUCCGCGGGGAGGCGUUACCCGCAGAAGAAGCACCGGCUAACUCCGUGCCAGCAGCCGCGGUAAUAC